GUCUCUGUGGUGUAGUUGGUUAUCACGUGGGUCUCAUAUGUUCUUCAUUCGUAUGACUAGGAAGUCGCAACUUCUUGGAUAUCCCAAGGCCGGGAGUUCGAACCUCCCCGGGGACA